rnacentral:rRNA from 1 species
UGCAAGUCGAACGAUGAACCGGUUUCGGCCGGGGAUUAGUGGCGAACGGGUGAGUAACACGUGGGCAAUCUGCCCUGCACUCUGGGAUAAGCCCGGGAAACUGGGUCUAAUACCGGAUACGACACAUGAGCUCAUGCUCGUGUGUGGAAAGUUCCGGCGGUGCAGGAUGAGCCCGCGGCCUAUCAGCUUGUUGGUGGGGUAAUGGCCUACCAAGGCGACGACGGGUAGCCGGCCUGAGAGGGUGACCGGCCACACUGGGACUGAGACACGGCCCAGACUCCUACGGGAGGCAGCAGUGGGGAAUAUUGCACAAUGGGCGAAAGCCUGAUGCAGCGACGCCGCGUGAGGGAUGACGGCCUUCGGGUUGUAAACCUCUUUCAGCAGGGAAGAAGCGAAAGUGACGGUACCUGCAGAAGAAGCACCGGCUAACUACGUGCCAGCAGCG